GCGGGCGAUCAAUGCGCUGCACUGACACCAGCCCGCCUGGCGGGGCCACACCCAACCCCCCAAGAGUUGGGGCCUCUCGGUCCUGGCCAGGGAGGGUAGGCUGACAGAUGGCCAGCUUUUGCAGACAGGGUUUUGGGGGCAGAGGCAGUAGGGAUCAGCCAGGGCCUCCCUUUGAUAGUCCCCCCACCGAGGAGCCUCUGCCUCCUCCGCUCCAGUGCGCCCCGCUCUCUGCCUCGUGGCCCCCGCUGAUCUCGCUGUAAAACAGCCUUUCAAGUCUGCCUGUCUUUUGACUGCACUAAGCUGUUUAAGAGGCGGCAGCAGCUUCUAUCAGGAAAGCUGGAGCAAUUCUCUGCAGAUAAAGGCACCUCCAGCCCCUGUUCCCUCUUCAAGUCUCACUCUCAUUCUCGCUCUCCAAAUCGCUCAAAGAAAAGCCCCCUUUGAACUCCCCUCAGGAAUUCUUGAAAGGAACAACCUCACAGUGUAAACACUCAGGGAAAACGGAUACCCGCCCAGGGCCUAAGAGCCCCUCACACUGCUCUGCAAGUGCAUCCCGGCACAAGGGAAACACUCUUGUCAAAUCAGCAGGCCCUUCGCAGCUUCAUCCUCCGUAAGCCCUGUCUGGUACCCAGAAGCCAUCAGGUCCAGGUCUGUGCCAAGGAACCUAAGAAGUUGCCACAGCAAUAGAGGAUGUGAGCAGUUGCAGCUGCCAACAGCGCUAACCAGAGCGGCACGCUAGAACUGACCCUGUGUGGCUGCCACCGAACACCCAUGUGUCCAACUCACAGGACAGACAAUCGUCAGCUCUGCUGCUCACUCUUCUAGGGCCUCAGACACUCUAAGGCUCCAGUACAGGAUGAGUGAAAUGGCAAACUCACACUCUCCAGCUCCGGUUCAGGGAGACGGUUUGAUCUGACUAACCUUCCUGAUUUAUGUUUUGGCUUGCCCCCAAACACCUGCGUAAUGUGAGAGACGCCCAGAGGCAUAAUGUCCCAUCUGGGCUCUUAGCCCCUUCGUGGAACCAGUCUGCACUGGACGGCCCUGCAGAGACCACUCCUCAGCAUCCGCCCAGGUGCUAACGCGGCUUGGCUGUCACCUUCAAUGCAUCACCCGAGGCUGAGAGCCCCCCUCGUCAUUCCUAGCUUGCAGCCUCACAAUUCCAUUUCCCCACCCAAAUACAUCCAUUUUAAUAUGCACAUCACAGGCAGGCAGCACGGUCACAAAGGAGCCCCACCAGCAGCAGUCCCCACGUGGUGGAACGGAUGGAUGACCAGCCACCAGCCUCGGCCUCUUGGCUCCCAACAGAUGGAUACCCAGCAGAGGCCUGGCACCAGAGUGCCACUGUCUAUGUGUCAGCUGCUUGUACCUCGGAAGCCACCUUCCAGAAGAGUGGUGGCCCGUAUCCGCUUCUGCCCACACCAUUCAUACUCCUCAAAGCGGCUGUUGUUCUCAUGCUCGAUGUCCACAGCAUCAUCCUCAGCCAUGCAGGAGCCUUCCCUCUGUGAAGAGCAGAGCAGGAUCAUGCUGGGCCCAGGCCAUCCCCACCUGCUCCCCACAGUCUGCGACGAAGGCACAGCUCUAGCCCCAGCUGUGGUGCGCCAAGUGGGCCCUCAGCUCUAGGGCUCCUCUGAAGCAAACCAAUUUAGAGGUCAAAGACCUGGGCCUCUUCCCAAUAGUUUUCCACUGGAGCCCAAGGAGGGAAUGAGUGAGAGUGAAAGCAAAGGGAGAGAGCAGUGGACAGAAGUGAAGAAGCUGCUGAGACCACAUGGAGACCCCAAGAGCCCACAGAUUCAGGGGUAGUCUGCAGCUAGUGUCGGGGGAAGGGAGCGGGGAGGGAAGGUGGGUGGUGAUGGCCCCUCUACCUUAGAAAGGCAAUGCUCCACAUGCCUACUCAUCUCCUGCUCCGAUCCUGCCAGGGGGCGGUUGCACAGGGGACAUACCUGCCCUUCAUCUUGCUUCCUCCGUUUCAUUUUCCCAAUCCGAGCUGCACGGGGGAACCGAAAACAAAGCACAGAACAAGCAGACGGUCACUGCAGCCCCCAAGGUCCCAGUGGAGCUGACACAUCCUGACCUCUUGCCAACCACUAGCGUUUUUAUUCAGUGCCUGAUCUGGCCCUCAUCUUGAAGUACCUCCUGCUCCUUUGGGGACUGGACUUUGCCAAGAGCACCUGGGGAGGACACUGGUGCUAACUAAGCCAGUAAGUCUACUCUUUGGCCACAGCUGGUGCAAGGUCUACCCAUACCUUUAUUUCCAGUGUUUAGUAAGAGUCCAAUGGGCAAAGACA